AAUCCAUGUUGAUGGCAGCAUUGAAUCAAAUCCUUAUACCUUUCCCAUGCUUCAUAGAGUGACUCAAAAUCAUAUUACUUGAAUUGAUCAACCUCACUCCCGAGUUG